CAUAUAACCCAAAAUUUCAUUAAAACAAUCCAGCAUUUUUUGGAGUGUACCUAUACCGUCCCACACAUAUUACCAUAUCUACUGUCUAUUGCUUGUUCAUUAUUCAUGACAUACUUUCUUCCAGAUUAUGGCUUCCUACACCUCACCAUCAAAAUUCCCCAAAAUACACCACCCUGAGACUGAAUCAAUUCAUGACCGCCUCCAACUCAUUGCUGUAAGCCAUAUUCUUUAUUACCUUUGUUUAUUUAACUAAUAUUAGCCUACUACAUAGCCUACAUACAAAUUCCACCAUUACCAUCCAUACUAUUUUAACAAAGUUUUUAUUUGCCAUUUCUAUAGUACAAAUGCCAAGAUCCAUCUGUCAACCCCAUCGAAACACCACAACUUUGUAAUCUAGGCACUGAUAUCAUGAAAAUCAUGUCACACUGUGACAACCAAAACAAGGCUCUCCAGCAAUGUGUCACUACACUUCGUUCAGAACUACAAGACAUGAAAAAAAAAACUCUCAGAAGCUCUAACUUCUGCAGAAAUCAACACUGCUACCCAAUACUUUUUCAAAGAUGAACAAUGUGACAUGUCCUCACAGACGGAGCAUGUCCCUUCAACAUUACCUGAACACUUACAUGAGAAUAACAACUAUCAAGAAAUACAAGCUGCAACAAAGUCUUCUCCAAAACCAACCAAAGAUCUACAGAAUGCUUAACAUUCAUUAUAUUGUGACCACACUUUUUAUGCUGCACUGUUUUUUACUUUUAAAACUACAAAUUGUUAUAUUUCCAUUUACUCUUAAACCACAUUAUUUUCUUUUCUUUUUUUCUUUUCUUUUUAAUUACACUUUUUUACAUACAAUUUAACAUACUAUUUGCCUAUUCCACCUUUAUAAUUUAUAGUUUUUUCUCAGACUUACAGUUUUCAUUAAAAUACAAAAAUAUUGCACACUACACUCCCACAACACAAGUAUAUUACUUAAUCUCUUAUUAAUAAAAAUAUUUCAUGCUAAAACA
ensembl:lncRNA